rnacentral:tRNA from 1 species
GCCCGGCUAGCUCAAUCGGUAGAGCGUGAGACUCUUAAAGAUGAAGAUACUUCAGUCUCACGAAAUCAUCUCAAGGUUGUGGGUUCGACCCCCACGUCGGGCU